ACCGGCGGCUCGAGUGGUGGCCACUAUUACUGGGCUUAAAGCGUUCGUAGCUGGAUGUGUAACUAUCUGGGGAAAUUUACCGGCUCAACCGGAAGGCGUCUCAGGGAUACUGGCAGGCUAGGGACCGGAAGAGGUGAGAGGUACUCCAGGGGUAGGAGUGAAAUCCUGUAAUCCUUGGGGGACCACCUGUGGCGAAGGCGUCUCACCAGGACGGCUCCGACAGUGAGGAACGAAAGCUGGGGGAGCAAACCG
rnacentral:rRNA from 1 species